rnacentral:lncRNA from 1 species
UUCAAUAAGGAACAGAAAGAAAACAACACGUUCACCCUCAAAAGAAAAAGAAAAACAAUUUCAAGAAACUCUCUCAUACCAAUUGGAUCCCCAUUUAUGCAAAUCCUUCAAUUUCAUACCAAUUGGAUACCCAUUGACAUAGAUCUUUCAAUUUCUUGUAUGUCUCUUUGAUUUCUACCAUUUUGAUUUGCUUCCCCAUCUCUCAAUACCCUUCUGCCAUUUCUCCUCCUCCCAUAUCUCUAAUAUUCUUUUCCCAUUUUUUCAUCACUCAAAGCUUGUGUGAUGGCCUCAAACUUACCAAAGUAAAGAGAGAUUUGUAUGGCUGUGUGUUUCAUAGAGAAAGGGGAACAUGCAACUGGCUGAAAUCUGGGUGAUGUGAAGAAGAAGCAGUUGUGUUGUUUGUGUGAAUAUGGGUAGUUUGGUAAAUCAUCCUUUUAAAGUGAAACGUGAUUGUUGAAUUGCCGUGGAAGCUUCAAUUUGUGGCUUCUGAAAAACCCACGUUUGGGACCAAAAUCACUUUCUUGGGAUUUGAUUUUGCAAAACAUCCAAACAUAAAAAAAAUAAAAUUGAAACGGUGUUUUGCCUUCAAAACGUGGUUUGGGGCGUGAAAACGCUUGACCAAACAAGCACAUAGUUGAAGUCUGGAACUGUUUGUGCAUUGCCGUAUACAUGAGAGAAAAGUAGUGCAAGGACAAUAGGUUUUUUAAUCUAUGAAAUGGGCACUAUUUUAUUUUUUGACACA